rnacentral:rRNA from 1 species
UACAGAGGGGGCAAGCGUUGUUCGGAAUUACUGGGCGUAAAGGGCGCGUAGGCGGCCUGCUAAGUCGAACGUGAAAUCCCCGGGCUCAACCCGGGAACUGCGUCCGAUACUGGCAGGCUUGAAUUCGGGAGAGGGAUGCGGAAUUCCAGGUGUAGCGGUGAAAUGCGCAGAUAUCAGGAGGAACACCAAUGGCGAAGGCAGCUCGCUGGGACGGUACUGACGCUGAGACGCGAAAGCGUGGGGAGCAAACAGG